AGCAAUAUUGGCAAGAAGUGAGACGUGAUCAGCGUUUCUUUGUGUUGCUUUUCACGGUGACCUUGGUUGGCAUUCUCUAAGGACACAGACGUACUGUUGUAAGCCGUGGCUGAAAGUACAUUCAGACACAAGAGAGGUCGAUGAGAGGGAAGUGAAAAGACAGAGUGAAUAAAGAACUUUGUAAUUUAUCAAGAUGAUCAAGAUCAACAGAAAAUGGGCUAAGACAUGGAGCAAGGGGAAGAAUGAUUCUUGAAGAUGCUGAGUAACUUCUGUUGGUGCCCUCCUCGACUCUGGCAGGUGUCCAAGCCCUGUUGUUCUCCCUGCACGGGGCGGCUGAGCAGUGCUCUGUAAAUUAUGCACCAGUCCCACAAUGUCUGGGGAGCCUGUGGACCCAUUUUGUCUACCUGGAGCUCAGCCACUUGGGUCUCCUUUGCCAAGGAGUGUCCUCCCUCUGGAACCCAAUACCAGCUCUUUCUUCUGUCUGGAAUCUUCCCUCAGCUCUUUUAAGGUUAGUUCUGGCUUCUUAGCAUUUCAUUACAUUGUUACAUUUUGUGAGACCUCUAAAG